rnacentral:rRNA from 1 species
UACGUAGGAGGCGAGCGUUGUCCGGAAUCACUGGGCGUAAAGCGCGUGUAGGCGGGAAGGCAAGUCUGCUGUGAAAGCUCCUGGCUCAACUGGGAGAGGGCCGUCCAGACGGGGUCACUUGAGGGGCGGAGAGGGGCGUGGAAUUCCGGGUGGAGCGGUGAAAUGCGUAGAGAUCCGGAGGAACACCGACGGCGAAGGCAGCGCCCUGGCCGCCAUCUGACGCUCAGGCACGAAAGCUGGGGGAGCGAAACAGGAUUAGGAAACCCUG